rnacentral:rRNA from 1 species
GAUGAACGCUGGCGGCGUGCCUAAUACAUGCAAGUCGAGCGAACGGACGAGAAGCUUGCUUCUCUGAUGUUAGCGGCGGACGGGUGAGUAACACGUGGAUAACCUACCUAUAAGACUGGGAUAACUUCGGGAAACCGUAGCUAAUACCGGAUAAUAUUUUGAACCGCAUGGUUCAAAAGUGAAAGACGGUCUUGCUGUCACUUAUAGAUGGAUCCGCGCUGCAUUAGCUAGUUGGUAAGGUAACGGCUUACCACGGCAACGAUGCAUAGCCGACCUGAGAGGGUGAUCGGCCACACUGGAACUGAGACACGGUCCAGACUCCUACGGGAGGCAGCAGCAGGGAAUCUUCCGCAAUGGGCGAAAGCCUGACGGAGCAACGCCGCGUGAGUGAUGAAGGUCUUCGGAUCGUAAAACUCCGUUAUUAGGGAAGAACAUAUGUGUAAGUAACUGUGCACAUCUUGACGGUACCUAAUCAGAAAGCCACGGCUAACUACGUG